GGUCUCGUUGCUUAGCAGGUAGAGCAUGCGCUGUACAAAAACGUAGGCGGCGUCCAUGCGUGGGUUCGAAUCCCACCGAAGCUA
rnacentral:tRNA from 1 species